AAGCCGCUUAAUCGUAGACGUCGUCGAACCUUCCAGAAGCAACCUAGGGCACUCAAGCGGGCCAUAAAAACCCCAGAGCAGGCGUAGCGAAACGCAUCGGAGGUUAGUCUUUAGCGCCGCAAUCGUGGUUCUUCUGCGUCCGUCCACGAACAUGCUUUCCAGUUGCACGUAUCUAUUUGGUGUGUCUUGUCUGGUACCAGCGACUAAUACUUUGAGCCGGGGGAUUUGGUAGUUUGCUUACUGCCAUGGCUGCUAAUACUUUUCCAGCCUUUAGCCUUAUUUUUUACACAAUGCUUUUUGUCGCAAUGGACCAUGUCUCUUGUGUUUAUUUUUCUCAUAAGAUUUCUUUCUUGAAAGAAUUGUAAAGUUUAAUUUCAACAAGAUUUUUCACUUGGUUUUGGGCUUUGAUGAAUUCAAUGCAACUGAAGGCGGAAUAAUGUAUAAACGUAAUGCUUUUUUAUAAUUGCGUUUCAUUGCAAAUAGGUAGUUGGGUUGUACUGUAAUUUUUAAUUUGUUUCUUGAUACCUUCACAUUCCAACUCAAGAAACAUCAUUCAUUAUUGUUAGUUCGACUUUAUUUUUGAUAUUUUUGGUUGUUAUUUUUGUUGAAUUUGGUUUGUGUUUUUAGAUGCAUGCUUAAGUCAUUUAAGUAUUUGAAAUUGAUUAACAUAGAUACAAGCCCAUUUUUGUUGUACCAAUAACUAAGUGUCUUGUUUUCAAUUAUUAUUUAUUUGCUUCAAUAUUUCGUAUGAUUAAUUUAAUAAGAUUCUCAAUAAUUAUUAUUUAUUUGCUUCAAUAUUUCGUAUGCUUAAUUUAAUAAGAUUCUCAAUCUGUGAUGAUACUAUGCAAUAAAUGAAGGAUAGUGUGAAUGGGUGUAACUAUUCUUUUACAAUCCAUGUCUUGUUCAAAUGCAGGAUAGUGUGUAUCGACUGAAUGCUUAUUUACAAUGCAUUUUCUGUCGAAAGUGUUUCCUGCAAGAGCAAUCUGGGGCAAAUGGGCAGUUGGGACAAACCCUAAUUUUUGAUCGGGUGUCUCGACAAUCAUUUUCCUCAUAUGCCUUACUACCAACAUCAUUGGUUUUUGUUUGUUCUUUUUGUCUUAUGUUUCUUCACUUUUAAGUGACGCAAGACAGAUUACCAUUUGGUUCAAUUUCAAUGAAAAUCUUCAUCUGUUUUUGCUGAUUUGAGGCAAUAUAGGCAGGUUUAUGAUGCUUUGUUACGAGUCUUCCCUGCUAGUGGUUUUUUUUGGGGGGAAAUGGGCAAUUGGGAUGAAACAUUUUCAGGAUAAUUGUUUCACGAUAAUUUUUUUGGAGCACAAUUGAUUAUUGCCUCUAGUUUUGGUCUUUGAUAUUUCUUUUCAGCAAGUGAGUUUCCAAUGCAUCUUUUUGGCAAACUGUUGUAUUCUUAGUAUGAUCUUGAGUGGCAACCCCAGUUAGAUACACCUCCUUUUCACUCGUUGCUUUCUCAUCACUUGCAUGUCUCGAUUUUAUUGUUUCUCCGGGUUGGCAUUAGCUUAGUGAUUUGUGCAACAGAAGGCUGGAAAGUGUGGCGUGAUGUUCAUCUACAAUGCAUUUGUAGCCGAAAGUGCUUCUGCAAUAGUAAUUUCUGGGACAAAUGGACAGUUGGAACUAAUUCUAAUUUCUAUGCGGUUGGCACAAUCAUUUUCCUUACCUCAACAUUAGUGUUUCUUACAUUUGGGCUUGCUAAGGUAUAUGUCUGAGACCAUGGAUUGAAUGGUUAAGUAGAACAUACCUGGCCGACCUAGAUGUGAUACUCCAUUUUCCUCCUGCAUACCCUCAAGUGGAUAUGUGAUUUUGAUGUUUAGACUAUUCAACCAACACUAACCAUAUUUGUAAAAUUCCAUAUGCUCUCUUGGUUUCUAUUAUAGUAAUUUGCUUAUACAUUAUAAAUUAUUCUAAUAUUUUAAGAGUUCAA